rnacentral:rRNA from 1 species
GUGCUUCUUCUGCGAGUAACGUCAAUGUCACAGUGCUAUUAACACUGAACCCUUCCUCCUCGCUGAAAGUGCUUUACAACCCUAAGGCCUUCUUCACACACGCGGCAUGGCUGCAUCAGGCUUGCGCCCAUUGUGCAAUAUUCCCCACUGCUGCCUCCCGUAGGAGUA